CCUCCUUUCUAAGGAUGAAUGAAAAUAAAAUUUCAUUCUAAAUAAUAUACAUCGGUAAUGUUGACCGUCCUCAUUUCUCUUCUUAAAGUAAUGUUUCCUUCUUGUAGGGCCGGUAGCUCAGUUGGUUAGAGCACACCCUUGAUAAGGGUGGGGUCGAAAGUUCGAGUCUUUCUCGGCCCACCAAACUUAAAUGGGGGAUUAGCUCAUCUGGGAGAGCGCCUGAUUUGCAUUCAGGAGGUAGCAGGUUCGAUCCCUGUAUCCUCCACCAGGAAACAUUUAGUUAUUAAAACUGUUAAUAAAAAUAAUUUAUAUCAAUAUCUAUAUCCGAACAUUAAAAGUUAUUAUUUAAUGUUCAAAAUAGAAAUUUGAUCACAACACAGAAAAAAUUUUUUUCUGUGCAUAAAUCAAGCGUUUAAGGGCGUGUAGUGGAUGCCUNGGCACCGAAAGCCGAUNAAGGACGUGAUAUACUGCGAUAAGUUUCGGGGAGCUGUAUGUAAGCUUUGAUCCGAAAAUUCCGAAUGGGGAAACCCAAGGGCGAAUCCAGC
rnacentral:misc_RNA from 1 species